AAGCAUGAAAUGGAUGCCAUGCUGCGAGAAGCUUUCCCUCCGCUGGGCGAGGAGGACCUCAACACUUUCAAGGAGAUGUUGACUUCGCUCACGGGAUCCAAGGAUCACAUGUGAUGGACGAGAUGAGAUGUGGUGCGCUGUGAAGGUGAAAG
rnacentral:rRNA from 1 species